rnacentral:pre_miRNA from 1 species
AUACACCCCAGAGGAGUGAUUACUAAGAACACAAGAUGUAAUUAGCUUUUUAAAUUUGGUGUUACGACGUUGCCACUACUAAUAAUAAUUACGGUGGUGUUACGUGUGGCUAAUUAUCUCUUGUGUUCUCAGGUCACCCCUUUGGAGAAUAU